GUUGAAAAAUCUGAAACUUCUUAGUGUUAUGUAUAAUGACUUGAGUGGAACUAUUCCUAAAGGUAUUGCUAAGCUUCCAUUGCUUGAUACUCUUCUUAUUUGGGACAAUUUCUUUUCAGGGUCAUUACCAAAAGAUUUAGGAAAGUAUUCAAAGUUGAAAUAUUUAGAUGUUUCAACAAACUAUUUUGACCAAAUGACUUAGGAAAGUAUUCAAAGUUGAAAUAUUUAGAUGUUUCAACAAACUAUUUUGUUGGUAAUAUUCCACCAUAUAUAUGUUCAAAUGGGGUGUUAUUAAAAUUGAUCCUUUUUU
rnacentral:lncRNA from 1 species